rnacentral:rRNA from 1 species
AAAUACUCUCUAGUGACCGAUAGUGAACCAGUACCGUGAGGGAAAGGUGAAAAGCACCCCGGGAGGGGAGUGAAAUAGAACCUGAAACCGUGUGCCUACAACAAGUUCGAGCCCGUUAAUGGGUGAGAGCGUGCCUUUUGUAGAAUGAACCGGCGAGUUACGAUAUGAUGCGAGGUUAAGUUGAAGAGACGGAGCCGUAGGGAAACCGAGUCUGAAUAGGGCGGAUUAGUAUUAUGUCGUAGACCCGAAACCAUGUGACCUACCCAUGAGCAGGUUGAAGGUGAGGUAAAACUCACUGGAGGACCGAACCAGGGCACGUUGAAAAGUGCUUGGAUGACUUGUGGGUAGCGGAGAAAUUCCAAACGAACUUGGAGAUAGCUGGUUCUCUCCGAAAUAGCUUUAGGGCUAGCGUCGACAUUAAGAUUCUUGGAGGUAGAGCACUGUUUGGGUGAGGGGUCCAUCCCGGAUUACCAAUCUCAGAUAAACUCCGAAUGCCAAUGAAUUAUGGUCGGCAGUCAGACUGCGAGUGCUAAGAUCCGUAGUCGAAAGGGAAACAGCCCAGACCACCAGCUAAGGUCCCAAAAUAAUUGUUAAGUGGAAAAGGAUGUGGGGUUGCACAGACAACUAGGAUGUUAGCUUAGAAGCAGCUAUUCAUUCAAAGAGUGCGUAAUAGCUCACUAGUCGAGUGACCCUGCGCCGAAAAUGUACCGGGGCUAAAACAAUUUACCGAAGCUGUGGAUACCUUUAUAGGUAUGGUAGGAGAGCGUUCUAUGUGUGGAGAAGGUGUACCGUGAGGAGCGCUGGAACGCAUAGAAGUGAGAAUGCCGGUAUGAGUAGCGAAAGACAGGUGAGAAUCCUGUCCACCGUAAGACUAAGGUUUCCAGGGGAAGGCUCGUCCGCCCUGGGUUAGUCGGGACCUAAGGAGAGACCGAAAGGUGUAUCCGAUGGACAACAGGUUGAUAUUCCUGUACUAGAGUAUGUAGUGAAGGAGGGACGCAGUAGGCUAACUAAAGCGUGCGACUGGAAGUGCACGUCUAAGCAGUGAGGUGUGAAUUGAGUUAAAUGCUUAAUUCUAUAACAUUGAGCUGUGAUGGGGAGCGAAGUUUAGUAGCGAAGUUAGUGACGUCACACUGCCAAGAAAAGCUUCUAGCGUUAAUCAUACUCUACCCGUACCGCAAACCGACACAGGUAGUCGAGGCGAGUAGCCUCAGGUGAGCGAGAGAACUCUCGUUAAGGAACUCGGCAAAAUGACCCCGUAACUUCGGGAGAAGGGGUGCUGGCUUUCAGUCAGCCGCAGUGAAUAGGCCCAAGCAACUGUUUAUCAAAAACACAGCUCUCUGCUAAAUCGUAAGAUGAUGUAUAGGGGGUGACGCCUGCCCGGUGCUGGAAGGUUAAGAGGAGUGCUUAGCGUAAGCGAAGGUAUGAAUUGAAGCCCCAGUAAACGGCGGCCGUAACUAUAACGGUCCUAAGGUAGCGAAAUUCCUUGUCGGGUAAGUUCCGACCCGCACGAAAGGCGUAAUGAUUUGGGCACUGUCUCAACGAGAGACUCGGUGAAAUUUUAGUACCUGUGAAGAUGCAGGUUACCCGCGACAGGACGGAAAGACCCCAUGGAGCUUUACUGCAGUUUGAUAUUGAGUGUCUGUGCCACAUGUACAGGAUAGGUAGGAGCCAUUGAUAUCGGGACGCCAGUUUCGAUGGAGGCGUUGUUGGGAUACUACCCUUGUGUUAUGGCCACUCUAACCCGGUAGGUUCAUCAUCUACGGAGACAGUGUCUGACGGGCAGUUUGACUGGGGCGGUCGCCUCCUAAAAGGUAACGGAGGCGCCCAAAGGUUCCCUCAGAAUGGUUGGAAAUCAUUCGCAGAGUGUAAAGGUAUAAGGGAGCUUGACUGCGAGAGCUACAACUCGAGCAGGGACGAAAGUCGGGCUUAGUGAUCCGGUGGUUCCGUAUGGAAGGGCCAUCGCUCAACGGAUAAAAGCUACCCUGGGGAUAACAGGCUUAUCUCCCCCAAGAGUUCACAUCGACGGGGAGGUUUGGCACCUCGAUGUCGGCUCGUCGCAUCCUGGGGCUGUAGUCGGUCCCAAGGGUUGGGCUGUUCGCCCAUUAAAGCGGCACGCGAGCUGGGUUCAGAACGUCGUGAGACAGUUCGGUCCCUAUCCGUCGCGGGCGUAGGAAAUUUGAGAGGAUCUGCUCCUAGUACGAGAGGACCAGAGUGGACUUACCGCUGGUGUACCAGUUGUCUCGCCAGAGGCAUCGCUGGGUAGCUAUGUAGGGAAGGGAUAAACGCUGAAAGCAUCUAAGUGUGAAACCCACCUCAAGAUGAGAUUUCCCAUGAUUUU